rnacentral:rRNA from 1 species
UCUCCUGGAAACGGGUGGUAAUGCCGGAUGUUCCACAUGAGCGCAUGCGAGUGUGGGAAAGGCUUUUUGCGGCAUGGGAUGGGGUCGCGUCCUAUCAGCUUGUUGGUGGGGUAACGGCCUACCAAGGCGUUGACGGGUAGCCGGCCUGAGAGGGCGACCGGCCACAUUGGGACUGAGAUACGGCCCAGACUCCUACGGGAGGCAGCAGUGGGGAAUAUUGCACAAUGGGCGCAAGCCUGAUGCAGCGACGCCGCGUGCGGGAUGGAGGCCUUCGGGUUGUAAACCGCUUUUGUUCAAGGGCAAGGCACGGUUUCGGCCGUGUUGAGUGGAUUGUUCGAAUAAGCACCGGCUAACUACGUGCCAGCAGCCGCGGUAAUACGUAGGGUGCAAGCGUUAUCCGGAUUUAUUGGGCGUAAAGGGCUCGUAGCGGUUCGUCGCGUCCGGUGUGAAAGUCCAUCGCUUAACGGUGGAUCCGCGCCGGGUACGGGCGGGCUUGAGUGCGGUAGGGGAGACUGGAAUUCCCGGUGUAACGGUGGAAUGUGUA